rnacentral:rRNA from 1 species
CCUACCCAAGGCGAUGAUGCAUAGCCCGAGUUGAGAGACUGAUCGGGCCACAGUUGGGACUGAGACACGGACCCAAAACUCCGUACGGGGGCAGCAGUAGGGAAUCUUCCACAAUGGACGCAAGUCUGAUGGAGCAACGCCGCGUGAGUGAAGAAGGGUUUCGGCUCGUAAAGCUCUGUUGUUGGUGAAGAAGGACAGGGGUAGUAACUGACCUUUGUUUGACGGUAAUCAAUUAGAAGUCACGGCUAACUACGUGCCAGCAGCCGCGGUAAU